rnacentral:rRNA from 1 species
UGGGAAUAUUGCACAAUGGGCGCAAGCCUGAUGCAGCCAUGCCGCGUGUGUGAAGAAGGCCUUCGGGUUGUAAAGCACUUUCAGCGAGGAGGAAGGUGGUGAACUUAAUACGUUCAUCAAUUGACGUUACUCGCAGAAGAAGCACCGGCUAACUCCGUGCCAGCAGCCGCGGUAAUACGGAGGGUGCAAGCGUUAAUCGGAAUUACUGGGCGUAAAGCGCGACGCAGGCGGUUUGUUAAGUCAGAUGUGAAAUCCCCGGGCUCAACCUGGGAACUGCAUUUGAAACUGGCAAGCUAGAGUCUCGUAGAGGGGGGUAGAAUUCCAGGUGUAGCGGUGAAAUGCGUAGAGAUCUGGAGGAAUACCGGUGGCGAAGGCGGCCCCCCUGGA